AACGAACGCUGGCGGCGUGGAUAAGACAUGCAAGUCGAGCGGGAACUUUCGCUGUAGCAAUACAGUGAAAGUUCUAGCGGCGAACGGGUGCGUAACACGUGGACAAUCUGCCUUAAAGUGGGGGAUAGCUCGGCGAAAGCCGAAUUAAUACCGCAUGUGAUGAGAGACGACAUCGUCUUGAAAUCAAAGCCGGGGCAACCUGGCGCUUUUGUAGGAGUCCGCGGCCAUCAGCUAGUUGGUGAGGUAACGGCCCACCAAGGCUAUGACGGGUAGCUGGUCUGAGAGGACGACCAGUCACACUGGAACUGAGACACGGUCCAGACACCUACGGGUGGCAGCAGUCGAGAAUUUUUGUAC
rnacentral:rRNA from 1 species